rnacentral:rRNA from 1 species
UUGGAGGGCAAGUCUGGUGCCAGCAGCCGCGGUAAUUCCAGCUCCAAUAGCGUAUAUUAAAGUUGUUGCAGUUAAAAAGCUCGUAGUUGAAUUUCGGGAUCAGUUGGUCGGUCGUGCCUCGGUACGUACUGGUCAAAUUGAUUCCUACCUUCUGACGAACCACGAUGUCAUUAAUUUGGUGUCGCGGGAAAUCAGGACUGUUACUUUGAAAAAAUUAGAGUGUUUAAAGCAGGCUCGCGCUUGAAUACAUUAGCAUGGAAUAAUGAAAUAGGACGUUUGAUUCUAUUUUGUUGGUUUCUAGGAUCGACGUAAUGAUUAAUAGGGAUAGUUGGGGGCAUUAGUAUUCAAUUGUCAGAGGUGAAAUUCUUGGAUUUAUUGAAGACUAACUACUGCGAUAGCAUUUGCCAAGGAUGUUUUCAUUAAUCAAGAACGAAAGUUAGGGGAUCGAAGACGAUCAGAUACCGUCGUAGUCUUAACCAUAAACUAUGCCGACUAGGGAUCGGAUGAUGUUAAUUUUUUAAUGACUCAUUCGGCGCCUUACGGGAAAC